UCCUGUCCUCUUGCUCUCCUCCCCAGGCAGCAUGAGCUUCACCACUCGCUCCACCUUCUCCACCAACUACCGGUCCAUGGGCUCCGUCCGGGUACCCAGCUACGGUGCCCGGCCGGUCAGCAGCGCGGUCAGCUUCUAUGCAGGCGCCAGGGGCUCUGGUUCCUACAUUUCCGUGUCAUACUCCGCCAGCUUCCGGAGUGGCAUCGGGGUCGGGGGCCUGGCUGCGGGGAUGGCAGGAAUGGGAGGCAUCCAGAACGAGAAGGAGACCAUGCAAAGCCUGAACGACCACCUGGCCUCCUACCUGGACAGAGUGAGGAGCCUGGAGACCGAGAACCAGAAGGUGGAAAGCAACAUCUGGGAGCACCUGGAGAAAAAGGGACCCUAGGUCAGAGACUGGGGCCAUUACUUCAAGACCAUCGAGGACCUGAGGGCUGAUCUUCACAAAGGCUGUGGACAAUGCCCACAUCGUUCUGCAGAUUGACAAUGCCCGUCUUGCUACUGAUGACUUUAGAGUCAAGUACAAGACAGAGCUGGCCAUGUGCCAGUCUGUGGAGAGCGACAUCCACGGGCUCCGCAAGGUCAUCGAUGACACCAAUGUCAUUCGGUUGCAGCUGGAGACAGGGAUCGCGGCUUUCAAGGAGGAGCUGCUCUUCAAGAAGAACCAUGAAGAGGAAGUAAAAGGCCUACAAGCCCAUAUUGCCAGCUCUGGGUUGACCGUGGACGUAGAUGCCCCCAAAUCUCAGGACAUCACCAAGAUCAUGGCAGAAAUCCGGGCUCAAUAUGAUGAGCUGGCUUCGAAGAAUUGAGAGGAGCUGGAUAAGUACUGGACUCAGCUGACUGAGGAGAGCACCAUAGUGGUCACCACACAGCCCACUGAGGUUGAAGCUGCUGAAAUGAUGCUCACAGAGCUGAGAUGUUACAGUCCAGUCCUUGGAGAUUGACCUGGACUCCAUGAGAAAUAUGAAGAUCAGCUUGGAGAACAGCCUGAGGGAGAUGGAGGCCCGAUACGCCCUGCAGAUGGAGCAGCUCAACGGGAUCAUUCUGCACCUGGAUUCAGAGCUGCCACAGACCCGGGCAGAGGGACAGCACUAGGUCCAGGUGUAGGAGGCUCUGCUGAACAUCAAGGUCAAGCUGGAGGCUCAGAUGGCCACCUACCGCCGCCUGCUGGAAGAUGCCGAGGACUUCAGUCUUAGUGAUGCCCUGGACAGCAGCAACUCCAAGCAAACCAUCUAAAAGACCACCACCCACUGGACAGUGGAUGGCAAAGUGGUGUCUGAGACCAACGAUACCAAAGUUCUGAGACAUUAGGCCAGCAGAAGCAGGGGACCCUUUGGGGAGCAG